rnacentral:misc_RNA from 1 species
AACCAUAGAAACCUGCGGAGUACCUGCGGAAGGAUCAUUAAUGAAUAAACUUGGUCAGGCUGUUGCUGGUUCUUUCGGGGACAUGUGCACGCUUGCCACCAAUUUUAACCACCUGUGCACCUUUUGUAGACUGGAAACGUUUCUCGAGGCAACUCGGAUUGAGAACUGCUGCGCGCAAGCCAGCUCUUCUUGUGUUUCUCAGUCUAUGUUUUCAUAUACUCCUAAUGUAUGUAAUCGAAU